ACUCAAUAGAUACCCCGGUAGUCCUAGCCGUAAACGGUGCGUAUUUGAGGUGGGAGGAUUCGACCCCUUCCGUCUUGUAGUUAAACACGAUAAAAAUACGCCGCCUGGGGAGUACGGUCGCAAGAUUAAAACUCAAAGAAAUUGACGGGGCCCGCACAAGCGGUGGAGCAUGUGGCUUAAUUCGAUGCAACGCGAAGAACCUUACCUGGCCUUGACAUGUAUGUAGUAGAAGGAUGAAAGUCUGACGAGGUAGCAAUACCAGCAUACACAGGUGCUGCAUGGCUGUCGUCAGCUCGUGCCGUGAGGUGUUCGGUUAAGUCCGGUAACGAGCGCAACCCCUAUGUCCUGUUGCCACUCCGAGUAAUCGGAAGCACUCUGGACAGACUGCCCUGCAUAACGGGGAGAAGGUGGGGAUGACGUCAAGUCAGUAUGGUCCUUACGGCCAGGGCUGCACACGUGCUACAAUGCCCAGUACAAAGGGAAGCCAACUCGCGAGAGGGAGCCAAUCCCAGAAAACUGGGCUCAGUUCAGAUU
rnacentral:rRNA from 1 species